rnacentral:rRNA from 1 species
GAACGGGGUACUGUAAGCGGUAGAGUAGCCUUGUUGCUACGAUCCGCUGAGGUUAAGCCCUUGUUCUAAGGAUUUGU